CUAGCUCUCUCUCCCGCGAUGUGGAAGGAAUCCUCAAUGUAAUCAAUGCUUCACUUUCCAAUUUGACUAUCAAAGAUACUUUAACUCAAAAAAACAUGAGACCUGAACCAACUUACAAAUAUGUGAUAUCCACGCCGAAACUAAUUUCUUUUACCGUAAAUGGUUCUCCUUUUCGGGCGUCUUCUGUACCUCAUGGGGUGAAGGUUGAGCUUCAGUCUUCCUCAGUGACGUAAAAUCAAUACAAUCACCUCGAGAUCUAUUCAGGUAACAUGAUAAUAUGGGUGCUCCCUUUCUCUCUCAUUAUGCAAUGUAAUUAAAGAUGAUAAAAAUAAUUUUCUUUUGAUAUGGAUUAUUUUGUUCACGAAGUUGAUGGAUAUUGUACUUUCUCUUUUCCUUUUUUUUUUUCACUUUCAGUUUUCGUUGUAUCUUUUUCCACACUACUCGUUUGGCUUCGGAAAAGGUUUUAAAUUGAUGGUUUGUGAUUUAAAUUGACAUACUCUAUAACUAUUUAAUGAAACAUUAAGCUAGUAGUGCUAUAAUUGAUUGUAAGAAAAAGGUUUAAUUUGUUGAUUGGAUGAUUUUUCCAUAUGUGCAGUUUCAUUCAGGGUCAGCUAUUAUGUGUGUAUAGAAAAAACUAUUAUGUGUUGUUAUGAUAGAAUCAUACCCUAAAAUUUAUAUUCAUAUAUUUGUUGUGUGAAAUUCUGCAGGUGAAAGAAGAGUGGUUUUCAUGCAAUUAUAUUAGAUGUCCUAAAACUUAUUGAGUAUUGAGUGGACCAGUCUAUCUGAUUAUUUUACUGAGAGGUCUGUCAAUCGCCAUGGUUCUUUUCAACAUAAGGUCUUCACUGGUCUCAUAACACAUGCUAUGUCUCGUAAUCUCCAGCAAUUGAAGAUAGUUGUCCCAUCCAAUAUUGGUUUGCCCUAUUCUAUCUUUUCUUGUCAUUCUUUGACCUCUAUUUACAUUUCGGUUUCGAGGUAUGAUGUCAAGAGAAGAACUAGACUCCCUAAGCAUCUCGACCUUCCAGCUUUAAAAAGUUUGCAUCUUGACUUUGUUGGGAUUCAAGCAGAUGAAAGUGGUCAUGCUGAACCCUUCUCAGCUUGUACAAAGUUAACCAAUCUGUACAUUGAUGAGUGUGUCUUAGUUUACCCUAGCUCUCUCUCCCGCGAUGUGGAAGGAAUCCUCAAUGUAAUCAAUGCUUCACUUUCCAAUUUGACUAUCAAAGAUACUUUAACUCAAAAAAACAUGAGACCUGAACCAACUUACAAAUAUGUGAUAUCCACGCCGAAACUAAUUUCUUUUACCGUAAAUGGUUCUCCUUUUCGGGCGUCUUCUGUACCUCAUGGGGUGAAGGUUGAGCUUCAGUCUUCCUCAGUGACGUAAAAUCAAUACAAUCACCUCGAGAUCUAUUCAGGUAACAUGAUAAUAUGGGUGCUCCCUUUCUCUCUCAUUAUGCAAUGUAAUUAAAGAUGAUAAAAAUAAUUUUCUUUUGAUAUGGAUUAUUUUGUUCACGAAGUUGAUGGAUAUUGUACUUUCUCUUUUCCUUUUUUUUUUUCACUUUCAGUUUUCGUUGUAUCUUUUUCCACACUACUCGUUUGGCUUCGG
rnacentral:lncRNA from 1 species